rnacentral:rRNA from 1 species
AGAAUCAACGCUGGCGGCGUGCCUAACACAUGCAAGUCGCACGAGAAAGGGACUUCGGUCCUGAGUACAGUGGCGCACGGGUGAGUAACACGUGAAUAAUCUACCUCCGAGUGGGGAAUAACUGAGAGAAAUCUUAGCUAAUACCGCAUAACACUUACGAGUCAAAGCAGCAAUGCGCUUGGAGAGGAGUUCGCGGCAGAUUAGUUAGUUGGCGGGGUAAUGGCCCACCAAGACGAUGAUCUGUAUCCGGCCUGAGAGGGCGCACGGACACACUGGAACUGAAACACGGUCCAGACUCCUACGGGAGGCAGCAGUGGGGAAUUUUGCGCAAUGGGGGAAACCCUGACGCAGCAACGCCGCGUGGAGGAUGAAAUCCCUGGGAUGUAAACUCCUUUCGAUAGGGAAGAUAAUGACGGUACCUAUAGAAGAAGCCCGGCUAACUUCGCGCCAGCAGCCGC